CUCCUACGGGAGGCAGCAGUGGGGAAUAUUGCACAAUGGGCGCAAGCCUGAUGCGGUGACGCCGCGUGAGGGAUGACGGCCUUCGGGUUGUAAACCUCUUUCAAUAGGGACGAAGCGCAAGUGACGGUACCUAUAGAAGAAGGACCGGCCAACUACGUGCCAGCAGCCGCGGUAAUACGUAGGGUCCGAGCGUUGUCCGGAAUUACUGGGCGUAAAGAGCUCGUAGGUGGUUUGUCGCGUUGUUCGUGAAAACUCACAGCUUAACUGUGGGCGUGCGGGCGAUACGGGCAGACUAGAGUACUGCAGGGGAGACUGGAAUUCCUGGUGUAGCGGUGGAAUGCGCAGAUAUCAGGAGGAACACCGGUGGCGAAGGCGGGUCUCUGGGCAGUAACUGACGCUGAGGAGCGAAAGCGUGGGGAGCGGACAGGAUUAGAUACCCUGGUAGUCCACGCCGUAAACGGUGGGUACUAGGUGUGGGUUUCCUUCCUUGGGAUCCGUGCCGUAGCUAACGCAUUAAGUACCCCGCCUGGGGAGUACGGCCGCAAGGUUAAAACUCAAAUGAAUUGACGGGGGCCCGCACAAGCGGUGGAGCAUGUGGUUUAAUUCGAUGCAACGCGAAGAACCUUACCUACUCUUGACAUCCAGAGAAUUCGCUAGAGAUAGCUUAGUGCCUUCGGGAACUCUGAGACAGGUGCUGCAUGGCUGUCGUCAGCUCGUGUUGUGAAAUGUUGGGUUAAGUCCCGCAACGAGCGCAACCCUUAUCCUUUGUUGCCAGCACGUAAUGGUGGGAACUCAAAGGAGACUGCCGGUGAUAAACCGGAGGAAGGUGGGGAUGACGUCAAGUCAUCAUGGCCCUUACGAGUAGGGCUACACACGUGCUACAAUGGCGUAUACAAAGAGAAGCGAACUCGCGAGAGCAAGCGGACCUCAUAAAGUACGUCGUAGUCCGGAUCGGAGUCUGCAACUCGACUCCGUGAAGUCGGAAUCGCUAGUAAUCGUAGAUCAGAAUGCUACGGUGAAUACGUUCCCGGGCCUUGUACACACCGCCCGU
rnacentral:rRNA from 1 species